UACGAAGGGGGCUAGCGUUGCUCGGAAUCACUGGGCGUAAAGCGCACGUAGGCGGAUUGCUAAGUCAGGGGUGAAAUCCUGAGCUCAACUCCAGAACUGCCUUUGAUACUGGCGAUCUUGAGUCCGGGAGAGGUGAGUGGAACUGCGAGUGUAGAGGUGAAAUUCGUAGAUAUUCGCAAGAACACCAGUGGCGAAGGCGGCUCACUGGCCCGGUACUGACGCUGAGGUGCGAAAGCGUGGGGAGCAACAGG
rnacentral:rRNA from 1 species